rnacentral:lncRNA from 1 species
AUUCAUUUUCUGCUCAGACACCGUUGCUUGCAAAAUUCCACCCAGAAGAUAAGGGAGGGAGUAUCGCUGCAGCGUCCUGCUCUGUGCCUGGUUAUAUUACUGGAUCCUUGUGUUGCAGCCCUAAGAUAGAAGGAUUGUCUCCAUUUCACAGAUGAGAGAGAACUGAUGCGCAGGAGGCUGAAAUUGUCUGAAGUCACACAGCAGCCUCCUCUUAAACAUGACAAAGAAUCCAAGGACUUGUGCUGGGGCUGUCAGCUGCUAUUCUGGUGCCCUGGGGACGAAGAAGGGAUCUGGAGGGAAGACUGUCACCCUCUUGCGAAUGUUUCCAAGAAGCAGCUCAGCAUGGGAGAGAAAAGGGGAGAUCCCAGUUCCAGGAACACCUGGCCAGUGUUUCACCUGUUUAUCGGAGUUGACAGGACCAGCCAGCCCUUUCCCACCUCUCCCCAUCAUGAUGGAUGGGAGCCUGGCCUUUGAGAUUCCUGCGAAGGAAUGACAAAGAACAUCAAGGCUCAAUCCUUGGAACUCUCCAUCACUCAUCUUUAAAUUAGACUUCUCUGCUGACUCUCAGAGUUGUGUAUGCUGAGAAUCCACUGCCUCUAAGACAUCCUGCUUGGCAGGUAACAGACAUUUCAUCCUGAGCUGAGCUCCUGCCCACCCCGCCCACACACAGACCCCUUCUUGCCCACAGAUUUCCCAUCUCAGCCAAUGGCGAGUCCAAAAAUCCUUUGUGUCCCCUUUGAUUCUUAGGUUCCUAUCUCCCUUCGACUGAGGCAUCGUUUCCAAAUCAGACACUUCUCGUCACCACUAUUGCCCUCCCCUUGUCCAACCCACCUUUGGCUCUUGGCUGGAGUCCGGUGAGUCUCCUAGCUGGCUCUCCCUGUUCUCGUCAUUUCCCAGUAAGUUCCAACCCUGCCUUCAGACUCUUCUGCACACAGCUUCCAGAGUAAUCCUUUCAAAAAGUAAGUCAGAUCCCAUCUUUUCCCUCCCGUCUCACUCUGUCAGCCACAUUCAUUCCAAAGGACCAUGUGGUCCAUGUCCCUGUUCUCUCUGGUUCUCUCACUGCUCUCCUCUGUGCUUACUCUCUCCUGCCUCACAAUGUUUGCACUUACUGUUUCUUCUGCUUGGAACUCUUUCCCUCCAAGACCUUUUUUUUUUGAGACGGAGUCUCGCUCUGUCGCCCAGGCUGGAGCGCAGUGGUGCAAUCUCUGCUCACUGCAAGCUCUGCCUCCCAGGUUCACGUCAUUCUCCUGCCUCAGCCUCCCGAGUAGCUGGGACUACACGCACCAGCCACCAUACCCAGCUCAUUUUUUUUGUAUUUUCAGUAGAGACGGGGUUUCACCAUGUUGGCCAGGAUGGUCUUGAUCUCCUGACCUCGUGAUCCGCCCGCCUCGGCCUCCCUAAGCGCUGGGAUUACAGGUGUGAACCACCGCGCCCGGCCUCCCUCCAAGAUCUUUACUCACGUUGUCACCUUAGUGACGGCUCCCUCCCUAACCAUCCUAUUUAAAAUUGCAGCCCGUUCAACACCCAUUCCUCCUUCUCCAUCCUUGCUCUGCUUCCUCCCUUUGACCUGUCACUCUUUAAUCCAGUGGCAUUCUGAUUCAAUGGUGACUGGGAGCAGGACCUAAGGAGGUGCGUCAUCUGUAGAGAAUUUGAAAAUAAUCGUGAAAUAAACUCAAAGUGGGUUUGCUCUUUAUGAGCCCCGCACACCAGCAAUUCUAAAUUCUGUUAUCAAUAUACUUUCCUGCCAGGGUGGGCCGCCCCCACCGAUUCUCCUCUAUCUUAAUACACUAUGUGUUUCCCUUGUUUAUUUUGCUUAUUGUUCAUUUCCAUGCACUAGAAUAUAAGCUCCGCGAGGGCAGUAUAUUUUGUCUGUUUUGUUCACCACUGUGUCCCUCGUGUCUGCCACAUGGUGUGUGCUCAGUAAGCUUUAGCUGAAUGAAUGAAGUGGUGGAUGUCGACGUUCCCUUAGUUGGGGGUUAUCAGGAGGGCUUCCUGGAUGAAUUGGUGUCUAUAUUGCCUGUCCUUAAAGAGGAGGAAGGUGCUCUAGGCAGAAGGAACAGCAGGUACAAAAGCAACUUGACUGUCAGGGUCAUUAGCUAAGAGUAGGAGUCAGAGGGAUGAGUGGGUGUCGUUCACCAGAAUUUACCCUUCAAAAUGUCAGUGCUUAGUAAAUGAAUGUGUUCCUUUAUUACUAGUUGUUGGAGGGUCCUUGUUGACAUCUUGCAGAGGUCUGGCUGUCACUUUUAAUCAGAAUGGCUAUUCCCCACUCCUGCUGAAGAGCUCCAGGCCUGGCGGGGGUGGGCUGGCGGGCUGUGGUGGUGGUAAGGGCUGUCCCCCAGCACACUGUUAGAACUUUACUUAUCCUCUUGCUUGAAGUGUGGGAGCUGGAGACCAUUCAGGAAGCUGUGGUUACAGUCCCAGACAGGGUCCCUAAAAGCAAGGAGCCAUUCCCAAUGCUUCCUCCUUAGGGAAGCCUUCCCUACUUUCUCUUCCCUCUUCUGGGCAGAGUUUGUACCUUCCUCCUUUUUGCUCUCUGUUUAUUUCUUUAAUUUAACACUUAACAACAUAAUACCAUCUUUAUUUGUUCCAUGUUUGUAUCUUCUACUGAAUGUGGCUUCAAGAACAGAAAGCACAGAACGUGGCACGUUGGAGGAAAUCAGUAAGUGUUUGCUAAAGGUCCAACAAUGAAACAGAACAGAUAUAUCCAGUGCUAUGCCGCGUCAAAAGAGUAUGAGAGGUAUUGUGGUGAUGCUUUUGAAUGCUAAUCAGAAUAAGGAGGGUGACUAGUCCAUAGUUAUAUAGAAUAUAGGAUAUACAGAAUAUACCUUUUUCUGUAACGGGAUGUGUCACUUAACUUUGUUCCUUAAAGCUCCAGAAGCCCAAGGUCACCCACAAUGAUUCAAGUAUUAUCAAUGUUGAGAGCCUGUAAAAGCAUCAAGUAUAUUAUAGUUUCCAAAAAAUUGUGAAUUAGACUGAAAACCAGCAUUUAAAAAAUAAAGUGAUGUUGACUUAAAAAAAAAA